CCCUUAGAUGUUCUGGGCUGCACGCGCGCUACACUGAUGCACUCAACGAGUUUACGACCUUGCCCGAUAGGGUUGGGUAAUCUUUUUAAAAUGCAUCGUGAUGGGGAUAGAUUAUUGCAAUUAUUAAUCUUCAACGAGGAAUUCCUAGUAAGCGCGAGUCAUCAGCUCGUGCUGAUUACGUCCCUGCCCUUUGUACACACCGCCCGUCGCUCCUACCGAUUGAAUGGUCCGGUGAAGCGCUCGGACCGCGGCCUCUUGACGGUUCGCUGUCGAUUGGCUGUGGGAAGUUCGUUAAACCUUAUCAUUUAGAGGAAGGAGAAGUCGUAACA
rnacentral:rRNA from 1 species